UUUGACAGUGUUUUAAGUUGAUUUAUGCAGAUUUUUUAAUAUUUUCAGUCAUAAAACUAAUAAACAAUAAUUUUUAUUUUGUAAACAUUCAUAAAUCAAGCAAAUGUUUCGUCUUCCAUCUAAAUAUUUAUUACAAUUAGAAAAAAAGUAAUAAAAUAGCAAUAAAACUAAAAGUUGUAGCCGGAAAGAAAGAAAUUUAUCAACAUCUGUGCAGCGCAAUGUCUCGCAAUGUCUUGGGAAAAGCGCAAACCGGACGGAAAGUGAAAUCUUUUCCAUUUUUUUCCAUGAUGGCGUUUUGAAUUCUGCAAAUCUUAUUAAUUUCUUUAUCGUACAACAUCUGUCUACCACGCACAGCUAAAAAUCUUAAAUUCUUAAAUUAUUCACAGGUAUGCAUAAUCAUUGACAAUAUUUUUGUAUCGGAGAUUUGUAUUUUGAAAUGCGAUUGCAAUUUGUAAAUUGUACUUGAACAUUUGUUAACCUUUAACUUCUUCAUUUCGACUCUCAAGUGCACAAGCGAAGAUUUCACACGAGAUGGCAAAUCGUUGUGACUGAAUACCUACAAGUGCGACCGUUAAUAUUACACUUGAAUAAAUACGCAGAUAGCAUUGA